rnacentral:rRNA from 1 species
GACGAACGCUGGCGGCGUGCCUAAUACAUGCAAGUCGAGCGGAAUGAUGAAGAAGCUUGCUUCUUCUGAUUUUAGCGGCGGACGGGUGAGUAACACGUGGGCAACCUACCUUGUAGAUUGGGAUAACUCCGGGAAACCGGGGCUAAUACCGAAUAAUCCAUUUCGCUUCAUGGCGGAAUGUUAAAAGGCGGCUUUUGGCUGUCACUGCAAGAUGGGCCCGCGGCGCAUUAGCUAGUUGGUAGGGUAACGGCCUACCAAGGCGACGAUGCGUAGCCGACCUGAGAGGGUGAUCGGCCACACUGGGACUGAGACACGGCCCAGACUCCUACGGGAGGCAGCAGUAGGGAAUCUUCCACAAUGGACGAAAGUCUGAUGGAGCAACGCCGCGUGAGUGAAGAAGGUUUUCGGAUCGUAAAACUCUGUUGUAAGGGAAGAACACGUACGAGAGUAACUGCUCGUACCUUGACGGUACCUUAUUAGAAAGCCACGGCUAACUACGUGCCAGCCGCCGCGGUAAGAC